rnacentral:rRNA from 1 species
CAGCCGUAAACAAUGUGCGUUAGGUGUGUCGGUAACCACGUGUUACUGAUGCGCCGAAGAGAAAUCGUGAAACGCACCACCUGGGAAGUACGGUCGCAAGGCUGAAACUUAAAGGAAUUGGCGGGGGGAGCACCACAACAGGUGGAGCCUGCGGUUUAAUUGGAUUCAACGCCGGACAUCUCACCGGAUAAGACAGCUGAAUGAUUGUCAAUCUGAAGGUUUUACAUGACUAGCUGAGAGGUGGUGCAUGGCGUCAGUGACU